rnacentral:rRNA from 1 species
AUGGGUCGACAGCAUGGCAAACGAGGAGGAACGUGCACGAAACAAACGGGCACGGUGCAAACAUAUCGUACAUCUCAUACAACACACAUUCAUACACGGGCGGUCGUCUCAUCGUUAUACCUUCGAAGCGUGCAUUUCGGGGCGGAUCGAGUUCGUCGAGGAAGUAGUCGUUCACGGGUCGUAGUGGAAGUAAUUGUACUCGUGUCAUCGUGGGAAGUAGUCGUACACGGCAUAGUGGAAGUAGUUGUUCACGUGGCGACGGUAGUUGUACACGUUUUCGUAGAUGUUCAGGUCGACGGUAGUGGUACACGCGACGUCGGGGUACUUGUCGGUCCGGUCUUGACGGUGUAG